AUUGAACGCUGGCGGCAUGCCUAACACAUGCAAGUCGAACGGAGCUUCGGACGGGUGAGUAAUGCCUAGGAAUCUGCCUAGUAGUGUGGGAUCACGUCCUGAAACGGGCGCUAAUACCUCAUCCUAUCAGCUGAGCCUAGGUCGGAUUAGCUAUGUGGUGGGGUAACGGCCUACCAAGGCGACGAUCCGUAACUUGUCUGCGAGGAUGAUCAGUCACACUGGAACUGAGACACGGUCCAGACUCCUACGGGAGGCAGCAGUGGGGAAUAUUGGACAAUGGGCGAAAGCCUGAGCCAGCCAUGCCGCGUGUGUGAAGAAGGUCUUCGGAUUGUAAAGCACUUUAAGUUGGGAGGCGUUACCAACAGAAUAAGCACCGGCUAACUUCGUGCCAGCAGCCGCGGUAAUAC
rnacentral:rRNA from 1 species